rnacentral:rRNA from 1 species
GACGAACGCUGGCGGCGUGCCUAAUACAUGCAAGUUGAGCGAUGAAGAUUGGUGCUUGCACCAAUUUGAAGAGCAGCGAACGGGUGAGUAACGCGUGGGGAAUCUGCCUUUGAGCGGGGGACAACAUUUGGAAACGAAUGCUAAUACCGCAUAACAACUUUAAACAUAAGUUUUAAGUUUGAAAGAUGCAAUUGCAUCACUCAAAGAUGAUCCCGCGUUGUAUUAGCUAGUUGGUGAGGUAAAGGCUCACCAAGGCGAUGAUACAUAGCCGACCUGAGAGGGUGGUCGGCCACAUUGGGACUGAGACACGGCCCAAACUCCUACGGGAGGCAGCAGUAGGGAAUCUUCGGCAAUGGACGAAAGUCUGACCGAGCAACGCCGCGUGAGUGAAGAAGGUUGUCGGAUCGUAAAACUCUGUUGGUAGAGAAGAACGUUGGUGAGAGUGGAAAGCUCAUCAAGUGACGGUAACUACCCAGAAAGGGACGGCUAACUACGUG